rnacentral:rRNA from 1 species
UGCAAGUCGAGGGGUAUAGUUCUUCUGGAGCUAGAGACCGGCGCACGGGCUGCGUAACGCGUAUGCAAUCUACCUUUUACAGAGGGAUAGCCCAGAGAAAUUUGGAUUAAUACCUCAUAGUAUGUGAGAAUCGCAUGGUUUUCACAUUAAAGUUCCAACGGUAAAAGAUGAGCAUGCGUCCCAUUAGCUAGAUGGUAAGGUAACGGCUUACCAUGGCGACGAUGGGUAGGGGUCCUGAGAGGGAGAUCCCCCACACUGGUACUGAGACACGGACCAGACUCCUACGGGAGGCAGCAGUGAGGAAUAUUGGACAAUGGGCGCAAGCCUGAUCCAGCCAUGCCGCGUGCAGGAUGACGGUCCUAUGGAUUGUAAACUGCUUUUGUACAGGAAGAAACACUCCCUCGUGAGGGAGCUUGACGGUACUGUAAGAAUAAGGAUCGGCUAACUCCGUGCCAGCAGCCGCGGUAAUACGGAGGAUCCAAGCGUUAUCCGGAAUCAUUGGGUUUAAAGGGUCCGUAGGCGGUUUAAUAAGUCAGUGGUGAAAGCCCAUCGCUCAACGGUGGAACGGCCAUUGAUACUGUUAAACUUGAAUUAUUAGGAAGUAACUAGAAUAUGUAGUGUAGCGGUGAAAUGCUUAGAGAUUACAUGGAAUACCAAUUGCGAAGGCAGGUUACUACUAAUGGAUUGACGCUGAUGGACGAAAGCGUGGGUAGCGAACAGGAUUAGAUACCCUGGUAGUCCACGCCGUAAACGAUGGAUACUAGCUGUUGGGCGCAAGUUCAGUGGCUAAGCGAAAGUGAUAAGUAUCCCACCUGGGGAGUACGUUCGCAAGAAUGAAACUCAAAGGAAAUGACGGGAGCCCGCACAAGCGGUGGAGCAUGUGGUU